GGCUGGGUGGCCGAGCGGUCUAAGGCGCUAGACUCAAGAAUUGCUUUCAAAGCUUUCUUCUUCGUAACAAUAAUUACGAGGUGAUUUCUAGUCUCGAAAGAGGCGCGCGUUCGAAUCGCGCCCCAGUCA